UGGAUUCCCAAGCUUGCAGCCCCUGCUCUUGGAGCCUAGUUGCUGGGGCUUCCAGCACUGGACAGUGGAACCCCAGCUCCUGUAAGGAUCCUGUUGAGAACACAUCUUCUGGAGGCUCCAGCCACACGUCCAGCAGGAUCUUGCAUCCUGGACCUGCCCUGCCAAACCCCGCCCCCCUCGCCUUGCACCAGGAAAGAGAAAUAAAUACGUCUGAAGAGAGAGACAAGCAUUGGAAAAGGAUAAAGAACAAGAUUGCUCAAUUUUUCAGGGAGCAUCCUCUCCCCACCCUGAGCGCUCUUCCCUCUGAGUGAUCUGAUUGGAAGUUAAAAGUCAUGGAAAAUUUUGAGGAACAGGGCUUUGAACCAGUGGCCUUUUCCUCUGGAGAGAAGCUCUACCGUCACUGGUCAGAAUGGACUGUCAAUCAAGAAAAUAAGCCAAUGGAGUCAGUAUUUGUUCUGGGGCGUAGGAAUGAUUGGCCCGGCGCCAGAGGGAGGGGAAGAGCCGGAAGAGAUUGAAACCAAGUUGGGAGACAGUUCCGAGUAUGCAGACCCAGCUGUCUGGUUUGAUUUCGGGUGUCACGUGACUCCGAAUCCCGGCCCUCUACUGAUAAUGGAGAGUAAAUAGUCUGUUGACCUAAAUUAAAUAAACGUGCGUUGACUCUGCUGGGGGUCAGGGGAAUAGUCUCUAAUUCGCAGGUUGCUAGCGUCACGUGACCCUCUAUUGCUAGCCUGACUGCUAUGAGGACCAAGGUCUAGGCGCACUCACAAGGUUUGAAGGCCUUUGGGUCUCAGAAGAAUCUUUUUUUUCCCCUUAAUUAUCUUUAUUUUUUGGAUACAAACAGCCAGAAAUUGAAAGGAGAGGGGGAGAUAGAGAGGGAAAGAGAAAGAGAGACACCUGCAGCCCUGCUUCACUGCUUGCAAAGCUUUCCCUCUGCAGGUGGGGGCCGGGGCUUGAACCCUGGUCUGCAUUGUAACGCGCGCUCAAUCAGAUGCACCACCACCGGCCCCUCAUGAGAAACUGUUUGCAUAACCAUUAUGCUAGCUACUGCCCCCACCACCACCCCCCACAUUUUUUUUUUAACAUUUUAUUAAAAAGAGAAUCAGAGCAUCACUGGCACAUGGUUGUGGGCAUCCAACACAGACCUCAUGUUUCCAAUUUCAGCAUGCUGCUCACUGCACUGCCUCCCUCAUCAGAGUUUUCAUAAACACUAUUAUCUGGUUUAAGCCACACUUUUAUAGAACAGACGUUCUAUAAAAGUAGACAGAGUCAUGAGCAGUGAAGCAGGGCUGUAGGUGUGUCUCUCUAUCUUACCCUCUCUUCUCCAUUCCCUUUUUAAAAUAUUUUAUUUAUUAAUGAGAAAGACAGAAAAGAGAAAAAGUGCCACACAUCACUCUGGUAUAUGUGCUGCGGGGGACUGAACUCAGAACCUCAUGCUUGAGAGACCAAUGGUUUAUCCACUGCACCAUCUCUGGGACCACUCUCCUCUCAGUUUCUUUCUUUUUUAAUUUUUUUAAUUUUAAAUAUAUUUUUUAAAAAUAUUUAUUUAUUCUCUUUUGUUGCCCUUGUUGUUUUAUUGUUGUAGUUAUUGUUGUUGUUGUUGUUGUUGAUGUCGUUGCUGUUGGAUAGGACAGAGAGAAAUGGAGAGAGGAGGGGAAGACAGAGAGGAGGAGAGAAAGAUAGACACCUGCAGACCUGCUUCACCACCUGUGAAGGGACACCCCUGCAGGUGAGGAGCUGGGGGCUCGAAUGAACCGGGAUCCUUAUGCCGGUCGUUGUGCUUUUUUGUUGUUGUUGUUAAUUUUAUUUAUUCCCUUUUGUUACCCUUGUUUUAUUGUUGUACUUAUUAUUGUGUUGUUAUUGAUGUCGUCGUUGUUGGAUAGGGCAGAGAGAAAUGGAAAGAGGAGGGGAAGACAGAGAGAGGGAGAGAAAGCUAGACACCUGCAGACCUGCUUCACCGCCUGUGAAGCGACUCCCCUGCAGGUGGGGAGCCGGGGGCUCGAACCGGAUUCCUUAUGUUGGUCCUUGUGCUUUGCGCCUUGUGCACUUAACCCACUGUACUACCACCCGACUCCCCUUUCUUUUUUUUUUUUUUUAAUAUUUAUUUACUUAUUCCCUUUUGUUGCCCCUUUUUUAAAUUUUUAAAUUUUUUUAACCAGAGCACCGGUCAGCACUGGCUUAUGGUGGUGCGGGGGGAUUGAACCUGGGACUUCUGAGCCUCAGGCAUAACAGUUUGUUUCCAUAACCAUUAUGCUAUCUACCCCCCAACGUGCCCUUGUUUUAUUGUUGUAGUUAUUGUUGUUAUUUAUGUCAUUGUUGGCUAGGACAGAGAAAAAUGGAGAGAGAUGGGGAAGACAGACACAUGCAGACCUGCUUUACCACCUGUGAAGCAACUCCCCUGCAGGUGGGGAGCUGGGGGCUGGAACCAGGAUCCUUUCAUUGGUCCUUGCGCUUUGCACCACCUGCUGCACUACCACCCGACAUCCUCUCCUUUCAGUAUCUGUCCUAUCAAAUAUAAUUUUUAAUUUAAAAAUACAAACUAAAUAAAAGUAGAUAGGGCAGACGGGGGCAGAUAGCAUAAUGGUUAUACAAAGAGACUCAUGUCUGAGGCUCCAAAACCCCAGGUUCAAUCCCUGUACCACCAUAAGCCAGAGCUGAACAGUGCUCUGGUGUUUCUGUGUCUUUCUCUCUCUUCAUCUCACUCAAAAAAAAAAAAAAUUAAAAUACUUAAAAAAAUAAAAAGUAGAUAUGGCAGGUGACACUCUAAUUUUGCCAUUUAGGAGACAGAUUAUUAACCAGAAAUCAGUGAUAAACAAAACUAUGUUAUUUUAUUUUAUUUCCCUCUCUAUUUGAUAGUACAGAGAGAUAUUUAGAGGAGAAGGGGAGAUAGAAACGGAGGAAGAAGGGGCCGGACAGUGAGGCACCUGGUUAAGUGCACAUAGUACUAACCACAAGGACCCACAGAAGGAUGCGGGUUCAAGCCCCCAGCUCCCCACCUCCAGGGGGGAUGCUUCACAAGCACAAGCAGGUCUGCAGGUGUCUUUUCUCUUUCCCUCCCUCUUCCCCUCUCCCCCUUCAAUUUCUCUCUCUGUCCUAUUCAAUAAAAUGGAAAAAAUGACUACUAGGAGCAGUGAAUUCAUAGUGCUGGCACUGAGCCUCAGUGAUAACCCUGGAGGCAAAAAAAAAAAAAAAUAGGGAUAAAGAGAGACAUGAUAUGAGUAAUAAAGCAGUGCUGCAUGUGUUAUUUCUCUCUUCCUCUACCUCCUCCACCCCUAUCUCUUUCUUUCUUUCUUUCUUCCUACCUUCCUUCUUUUCUCUCUUUCUUUCUUCCUUUCAUUCUUUCUUUCUUUUUAACCAGAGCACUGCUCAGCUCUGGUUUAUGGUGGUGUGGGGAAUUGAACCUGGGACUUUAGAGUCUCAGGCAUUAGAGAGUCUCUUUGCAUAAACAUUAUUAUAUCUACCCCUGCCCCUUAUUUCUAUCUUUUUCUAUCCAAUACAUACAUAUAAAAUAAAUUAAAUAAUGGAGCUCACGUGGUGUGUAAUUUGUGUUUGUCUUCCCAAUAGUAUUUGAAUAAAUGGUAGUUGGGUAAGGAGAAAAGGUUUUGUUUUUGAAGGGGGAUGAGAAGGCCCAGCAUUUAUGGUAUUGUUAUGAAAACUUGAAUGGAUGACCAGUAAAGGCAGCAAAAAUAUCUAAUCUUUGUGGAGUAGCUACUAUAUGGUCAUAUAUUAUCAUGUUGUUUAUAUAAUUUUCAUAGCAAAUCACAAGUGACAGAGUUAACAAAAAGGACCUCUUUGGUGUAUUGCACCAAAGUAGGAGACUCUGGGAUAUGUGUGUCGGGGGGAGGGUUCAGGUCCUGGAACAUGAAAGCAGAGGAGGACCUAGUGGGAAUUGUAUUGUUAUGUGGAAGACAGGAAAAUGUUAUAAAUGUACAAACUAUUGUAUUUUACUGUCAAUUGUAAACCAUUAAUUCUCCAAUAAAGUAUUUUAAUCAAUUAA